rnacentral:rRNA from 1 species
GAUGAACGCUGGCGGCGUGCCUAAUACAUGCAAGUAGAACGCUGAAGCUUGGUGCUUGCACCGAGCGGGUUAGUUGCGAACGGGUGAGUAACGCGUAGGUAACCUGCCUCUUAGCGGGGGAUAACUAUUGGAAACGAUAGCUAAUACCGCAUAAAAGUCGAUAUCGCAUGAUAUUGAUGUGAAAGGUGCAAAUGCAUCACUAAGAGAUUGACCUGCGUUGUAUUAGCUAGUUGGUGAGGUAACGGCUCACCAAGGCGACGAUACAUAACCGACCUGAGAGGGUGAUCGGCCAACCCUGGACUGAGACACCGCCCCGAACCCCUAGGGAGGCAGCCGUAGGGAAUCUUCGGCAAUGGGGGCAAACCUGAACGAGCCAAGCCGCGGGAGUGAAGAAGGGUUUCGGAUCGUAAAGCUCUGUUGUAAGAGAAGAAAGAGUGUGAGAGUGGACAGUUCACAUUGUGACGGUAACUUAUCAGAAAGGGACGGCUAACUACGUG